GAGUUUGAUCUUGGCUCAGGAUGAACGCUGGCGGCAGGCUUAACACAUGCAAGUCGAGCGCCCCGCAAGGGGAGCGGCAGACGGGUGAGUAACACGUGGGAACAUACCCAUCUCUGCGGAACAACUCCGGGAAACUGGAGCUAAUACCGCAUACGCCCUUAGGGGAAAGAUUUAUCGGAGAUGGAUUGGCCCGCGUUGGAUUAGCUAGUUGGUGGGUAAAGGCCUACCAAGGCGACGAUCCAUAGCUGGUCUGAGAGGAUGAUCAGCCACACUGGGACUGAGACACGGCCAGACUCCUACGGGAGGCAGCAGUGGGGAAUAUUGGACAAUGGGCGAAAGCCUGAUCCAGCAAUGCCGCGUGAGUGAUGAAGGCCUUAGGGUUGUAAAGCUCUUUUACCCGGAUGAUAAUGACAGUACCGGGAGAAUAAGCCCCGGCUAACUCCGUGCCAGCAGCCGCCGUAA
rnacentral:rRNA from 1 species